rnacentral:rRNA from 1 species
AAACUAACAAGGAUUCCCCUAGUAACGGCGAGCGAACCGGGAAGAGCUCAAAUUUGAAAUCUGGCGUCCUCAGGGCGUCCGAGUUGUAAUCUACAGAAGCGUUUUCCGUGCCGGACCGCGUCCAAGUCCCUUGGAACAGGGUAUCAAAGAGGGUGACAAUCCCGUACUUGACACGACCACCGGCGCUCUGUGAUACGUCUUUGACGAGUCGAGUUGUUUGGGAAUGCAGCUCAAAACGGGUGGUAAAUUCCAUCUAAGGCUAAAUAUUGGCGAGAGACCGAUAGCGAACAAGUACCGUGAGGGAAAGAUGAAAAGCACUUUGGAAAGAGAGUUAAACAGUACGUGAAAUUGUUGAAAGGGAAACGAUUGAAGUCAGUCGUGUCCGGGGGGUUCAGCCGGUCCUGCCGGUGUAUUCCUCUCGGACGGGUCAAUAUCGGUUUUGGUUGGCGGAAAAGGGCACGGGGAAUGUGGCACCUCCGGGUGUGUUAUAGCCCCGCGUCGCAUACGUCGGCCGAGACCGAGGAACGCAGCUCGCCUUCAUGGCCGGGGUUUGCCCACGUACGAGCUUAGGAUGUUGACAAAAUGGCUUUAAACGAC